GCCCAAAAUUAAGCCCAACCAACACCACAAACACUACAUUAACAAAACAAAACAAACCAUUUGCCACGACUAGUAAAGGCGAUUGAACAUCAACUGCACGGAGCCAUAGACAAAGUACCGCAAGGGAAACAUGAAAAACAGUGAAACACACAAGCCCAAAAAAGCAAAGACUCACACUUGUACCUAUUGCAUCAUGGUCUAGCAAGAAUUUAACAGACACGGAGACCCAGCCUGUUCCCCCGAAAUCAAGUGAGCUACCUUAAAGCAAUCAAUAGGAUCAACCCGUCUCUGUAGCAAAAGAGUGGGAAGACUAUAAGGUAGCGGUGAAAAGCCUACCGAACUUGUUGAUAGCUGGUUGCCUGAUAAAUGAACCCAAGUUCAACCUUAAAUUUUUUAUACCGCAACAAUGGUUUUGCCUUAAUUUAAGAUAUAAUCAAUGGGGGUACAGCCCCAUUGAACCGGGAUACAACCCAAAGCAAAGAGACAGAACAAUUUAUUUACCAGUAGGCCUUAAAGCAGYCACCAAUAAAAACAGCGUCAUAGCACUAUCCUACAAAAAUUCCAAAAACAAAAACAAACUCAUGCUAACAAAUCAGCGCUACUCUAUAAAAAUAUAGAAGAACCUAUGCUAGAACUAGUAACAAGAACCAAUCUCUACUGCACACCUGUAAAUCAGCAAUAGAAAACCUACUGAAAAUUAACAGAAAAAUACAACAUAAACAACAAGUAUUACGAAGCCUGUUACACCGACACAGGAGUGCUAAAAAGAAAGAUUUAUAGUCAAAGAAGGAACUCGGCAACUAUUAAUCCCAACUGUUUACCAAAAACAUAACCUUUAGCCCCCCCCAAGUAUUAAAGGCAACGCCUGCCCAGUGAACCAUUAAACGGCCGCGGUAUCCUAACCGUGCAAAGGUAGCGUAAUCACUUGUCCCCUAAAUAGGGACCUGUAUGAACGGCUAAAUGAGGACUAAUCUGUCUCCUUUGACAAAUCAGUGAAACUGAUCUGCCAGUACAAAAGCUGGCAUAACCACAUAAGACGAGAAGACCCUGUGGAGCUUUAAACUCACAGCCAAAACAUAUGAAUCAACAUAACACUAGUGGCCAAAAGUUUUAAGUUGGGGCGACUUCGGAACAAAAAGAAACUUCCGAGCCUAAAGAAUAUUAAUCUAACCAAGACCAACAAGUCAAAGCAAAUCUUGACCCAGUAAAACUGAUCACCGAACCAAGUUACCCCAGGGAUAACAGCGCAAUCUUCUUCAAGAGUCCAUAUCGACAAGAAGGUUUACGACCUCGAUGUUGGAUCAGGACACCCAAAUGGUGCAGCCGCUAUUAAAGGUUCGUUUGUUCAACGAUUAACAGUCCUACGUGAUCUGAGUUCAGACCGGAGAAAUCCAGGUCGGUUUCUAUCUAUGCUGUUGUUUUCUUCAGUACGAAAGGACCAAGAAAACAGGACCCAUACUAAAAGUAUGUCCUAAACAAUAAGCUAAAGACAACUAAAGCUUACACAACAAAACCAGCCCGGAGACAACGGACUUA
rnacentral:rRNA from 1 species